CACGUUUUGUUUUUCCUUCUUUCUUUCCUUUCUUAAGUGUGUAAGUGCCUUCUGAGAUGGACAUAGGGAGAGAAAGCAGAGAAGGGGCAGGUGGGGAUGGAAGACAAAAUUGUGUAGAGGCCUCUUCUGCGUUUUCUGAGGAUGUGCACGAGGGAAGGGAAGAGAGAUAAAGCCUUCGAAGGAAGCCAGAGAAGAACAGAGUGUUUCCCAGGCAGAGAGGAGGUGAAGCCUGGUGCAGCCACAGAGAGUCGUGGCUGGUUAUUUCCUGGGUUCCCGGCAUUACUCCAGGAAGGUGCUGUUAUCUUCAGAGUCGAAUGGAUUGGGAGAGACAUAGCCAUGUGA
rnacentral:lncRNA from 1 species